CUCUCUCGUUCUUAUCGGCGAGAGAAGAUGCGAUUGAUGCGAAAAUCGGGAAAUCCAAUCGAUUCACAUUGAAUGGGUUGAAUUUUUUUGGCUAAAUCAGAAGAGUUGAUGCAUAUCUCGUGUCGUUUUCAUUUCUCGUCUCCAUAGCGAAAGUUAGGUUUUUUUUUGUCCGUCGUUAGUAAUGCAUCUUCCACCAUCAAACGCCGCCGGAGCAGGACAACAAUCAGGACAGCCGCCGUUGUUGAUGAUGAUUUGACAACAGCAACAACAGCAACAGAGGUAGUCGGCGCCGGCACUAGGUCAACAGCAGCAGUAUUGCUACAUCAUGAGCAUCUUUGGUCAAUCUGGAGAGGCUGUAUCAGCUAAAGUCAUUCGUGUAAGCGUAGAAACUGAGCAGAUGCGUGCGUUUGGAACCAGAAAUUAUCUUCGAGUGGAGGUCUGGCUGAGAAGAUAGCAUAUCAUUUGGUUGUUGCAGAAAACUCAAAUGAAGAAGCUGAGAUGAAUAAAUGCAAGUUUGUUGUUAAACGUAUCAGAAAGAUGGAGAAAGAUGUUGAAGAAGCCUGCUCUACUGCGAAAGACAACCCGAAGAGAAAAUCGUUGGCAAAGGAAUUGGAAGAAGAAGAAUACCUUUGACACAAUGUAUGGAGAAACUUAAAUCUGUUCAAGGAAGUAGAACUUCCCUUGUGAACCAGCUUAAGGAUGCACUACGCGAACAGGAAUCGGAACUGGACAAUCUUAAAGCUCAGAUUCAGGUAGCACAAGAACAAACAGAGGAAACUCAAAACAUGCAGAAACGGCUCAACCGCUCCCCUGAGCUCAGUCUCUGCUACCAUGAUAACCGAGACAAAUGACAACUCAAUAUUGUUUUGUAUCUUGACGGGUUUGGUUGUUUUUGAUUCUAUGAAACAGGUGGGCGUUGAUUGAUUUAUUUGUUUGUUGCUGAUAUAUUCUUAGUUUUUGAUGCGAAUGAUUUUUGCAAACAUUGUUUAAGUGAGCUUUUGUUGUUCUGCAAUAUAGGUUCCUUGUAGAUAUUUCACCAUUUUGAGUUUUCUUCUAUAUCAAUUGAAUUUUUAAGCC